rnacentral:lncRNA from 1 species
UGCAGCAUUAUCAGUAAUAAUGUCCUUUGUCUCUCACCUAGAAAUAUUUUAUCUUCUCCCAUUGUCCAUGAAAUUGUGGCAAGCUAACUUGUUAACUUGUGGAAAGUUCCAGUGGGUGACUAAGAUAGCCUGGAUUUUAAGACAAGAUGUAUUGAAAUCAACUUUACAUCUGUACUUCCAGACUCUGAUCUUCUAAGAAAAUAUGGUAUUGACCAAUGACAUGGAGAGCUGCCUAUGUGUUUUUCUUCUACAAUCAACUUGUGAACAAUGCUCUUUACUUUCAUUAUAUUAAGUGAACUAAUAACUUUACAUCAUUUUACUGAAGGAGAAAAUAAGCAACUUUGGAAUUUCACAUAGAGGCAAUUUUGAAAAUUAAACCACAAUUAGAUUAUUUACAUUUAAAGCAUAUAAAUUGUAUAUGUAUAUA